rnacentral:rRNA from 1 species
CUACGGGCCGCUGCAGUAGGGAAUAUUGGACAAUGGGCGAAAGCCUGAUCCAGCAACACCGCGUGCACGAUGACGGCCUUCGGGUUGUAAAGUGCUUUUAGAGGAGAUGAGAAAGGACAGUAUCCUCUGAAUAAGCCUCGGCGCAACUACGUGCCAGCAGCCGCGGUAAAACGUAGGAGGCAAGCGUUAUCCGGAUUUAUUGGGCGUAGAGCGCGUGCAGGCGGUCUAGCAAGUUGGAUGUGAAAGCUCCCGGCUCAACUGGGAGAGGUCGUUCAAUACUGUUAGACUAGAGAAUAGGAGAGGGAGGUGGAAUUCCGGGUGUAGUGGUGAUAUGCGUAGAUAUCCGGAGGAACACCAGUGGCGAAAGCGGCCUCCUGGACUAUUUCUGACGCUAAGACGCGAAAGCUAGGGUAGCAAACGGGAUUAGAUACCCGAGUAGUC